rfam:Sphingomonas sp. Root241 contig_1, whole genome shotgun sequence.
GCCAUGGGGAAUGCGAUCUCCCCACGAGGCGUCAGCCGAAGCAUCGCGUCCUGAUUUCGAUAUAAGGGACGCAUCAUG